GUUAUAUUUGUGCCACAAUCCUGAGCGCACAGUGUGAAAUUUUGAGCACAGAAAACAAUUUUGAGCAAAGAAAAACUUAAUCUGAGCAAACAAAAAUCUAUUCUGCACUCAAAAAAUAUAUUUUUAUAUUUGCAACUAUCCACAUACACACACAGUCUUAAUGCUUUUCACUCGGUUUUUCACUCUGCUCUCCUGUGGAUCUCUGCUCUACAUCCUCGCUACGUCUCUCUCGCUCUCGCUCAACAUCUGCUCUCUGCACACGCUCAAAUCUGCCUUCACGCUCGCUCAACUCUGCACGGCGUUAUAAAUGUGCCACAAUUCCAGCCAAUCACAGACUUCUGAUUCUAUCCAAUCGGGUCCCUGUUUCGGCCGCCUCUCGGAAGCGCUGUUAAAAACGAUCGCUAAAUCAACUGGAGUUCUGCUAUAUACGCUGGACUACGACAUAUUUUCGGUGAGUAUUGUUUUAUUAUUGAAUUACAUUAAAUAAAGCACUAUUUUGUUUAGUGUGUUAAAUACAGGUGUAAUGUUUUGGUACGGUUUUGCAGAAAGUCAGUCCUGCUUCCGCAACAAAACGAGGGAUUUAGCAGAUGUGCUAGCUAAACAGCAUGACAGAUCCAAAUAAUGACAACCCAAAUACUCCGCCACCAUGUCAGGUUAGUUAAGAUUUUUGGGUUUUUUAAUUUUUUAUUAGCUGUGCUUUUGAUUAAUCUUUCUAUUAACCAACCUUUCAGAUUAAAGCUGAUUUACUAGCAGGAGUCAAAGCUGUAGAGCUUAAGCUAACCUAAUAGCUAAUGAAAACUUUGUUGGACAUUAGUGUUUGAUUUCAAAGUGUUAAAUAAUUGUGUUUUGACAGAACAUAUUAACUUUACAUUUGGUAUUGAUUUAGGGUCAAAGUGCAGUUGAGUUAGCAGCCAGAAAUCUAAUAACUUUGUUGGUUAACACCAUGGCCACAACUAGUUCACCAAGCCCUACAGAGACCAGACAGCCAGAGCCUAGAAAUGUAACUGUACCGCAAGAGAUGGCAAGGUUUGCAUGUUUAGUCAAUCAUAGGUUUUUAUUCAUAAUAUUGUGAAUUUGAUGUUCUCAUUUAGUUUGUGGAUGUGUUUAACAGAGACAUUUAAAUUCAUAUAUAAUCAGAACUGAGAGAGUCUAAAAAAAAUCAAAUUAUCUAAUAUUUGACUAUUUAUAUUAUUUAUAAAUGCAUACAUAUAUAUGUCCUGUACAGAGCUUUUCCAGGAUACUUCAGAUCAAACUUUAGUCGAGGUAAAAAGAGGUGUUUAACUUCCACCAAGCAGCCUCCUAGAACAACCAGCAAGACCAUUACUCUCAUUUUUUAUCUGCUUCCAAAAAACACACCCUACACACCUUUGCCAGUUGAGGAGCUUGAACUCCUUCAAGCUGGCAUGGGAAGACAAACGGUGUCGCUGCCUGACGACAGUGACCAUGCAGAGGUACAGUAGUCAGUUCAUAGUUUUGACUUUCCGUGUUUAAGGCGGUCAUUGGGCAACACUUUUAACCCAAAUUACAUGUUAACGUCUAUAUUGUAGUGUUUUAUUUCUCUCUUUCUUUUCUUUGUUGUCAAAUUUCAAAGGUCCUGGCUGAAACAUUCCCAAAAAUGGAAGAUCUUUAUGGGGGAUGGCUCUUGCAUAAAGCAACAGUGAACACUUUCAGGUUGAACAUGUGGCUGAUGCACAGUCUCUGAUGUUGCUGGCUGAUGAAGUUAUAAACUGUGGAUACACAAGCCAGAUCAAGCUGGAUAAUAAACAAAACACCAUUCGUACUAUUGUCUUGCACUCUACCACAAGACUGAUUCCAAUGCUUCAGCAAGUGAGAAAGGGCAUGGAACUGUAUGGUCUGCUCAGUCAGAUGGCUGCAAACCCUGAAGCUUUACACACUCUUUGUUCCUGGGAAGAUCAUCAAACCAGAUGCUGAUUUCAUAAUGAUGAACUGCCGACCACAGCUCAGUGAAAAGGGGACAUCUCGGGAGAGAACUGAAAGAUUAUAAACUUCAUGCAAGAUUUUUGCCAGGAGCUUGAAAUAUCAGUGCUGCAGUUGAGGAGCCCCACUCUCUUGGAGUUCAGCAUGUCCUCCAGUGGUUGACCGGGCAAGCCCACAUUCCCAUCCUCCCUGAUGAAAAGAGACAUUUCAAAAUAAUAUUCAUGUUUG